UGUGCCUACGGGAGGCAGCAGUGAGGAAUAUUGGUCAAUGGUCGGGAGACUGAACCAGCCAAGCCGCGUGAGGGAUGAAGGUACAGAGUAUCGUAAACCUCUUUUGUCAGGGAACAAAGGCGGGGACGUGUCCCCGGAUGAGUGUACCUGAAGAAAAAGCAUCGGCUAACUCCGUGCCAGCAGCCGCGGUAAUACGGAGGAUGCGAGCGUUAUCCGGAUUCAUUGGGCGUAAAGCGCGCGCAGGCGGGUUGGUAAGCGGG
rnacentral:rRNA from 1 species